AUCUCUUCUCUCUCACUCCCAUCUCUUCCACCAGGACGAAGCCGCCGCCGCCUCUGCCAGCGCACCCGCCUCGCCCCCGCUCGCUGCGGCCGCCUCUGCCAGCGCACCCGCCCCGCCCCCACCCGCCGCGGCCGCCCUCGCCCGUUGCUCUCGCCGACGCGGCCACCUCCGGCCCCGCCCGCCGUGGCCGCCCUGCUGUACGGCUACAAGAACAACAACCUCAAGUGGCUGGAGCGCUUCGCCUACAUCAACACCACCAUCUACCCCUUCGCCUUGCUCCCACUGCUCGCCUACUGUACCCUGCCAGCCGUCUGCCUCCUCACCGGCAAGUUCAUUAUGCCGUCGGUGGAUGCGUGCAGGUCACAGGAUCUUCAGGGGCUGUAGCCUGCAGGAAAAGAGGGCUUUUGAUAAUACUGAGAGAUGAGAUAAUGAAUUUGGUGGCCGAGCCUCACAUGCAAGAAUCUUGAAGUGAGAAUUGGGAGAAGGAAAUGGUUCUUGAAGAUAUGAAAAGGGAGGAAGAUUUGCUGAAACAAGUUAAGGAAUUAUACAGGAAGCAGAAGCAAGAGCUCAUGGAUUAUGUCACUCAACCAGCAGCGACACAGACGUCACGUGAUUCGCCAGCAACUCAUUCACCCGCAACUCCUGAGAGUAAUCUGUUUGGAGCCAAGCUCUCCAACAAGUGGCGGUAACAUUUUGGUGGCGUACGUCCCUAUUUUGUUGGGGCUUAUUGCCUGUUCUGGCAUCAGCACGACGUAACUAGCUUUUGCCACAAGCUUGGUGUUAGUUUGUGAGGGUGAUAGGCCAGUGAAAUUGUUCUGCUGCUUAGCAUAGUUGGCCCUAUGGAUACCAAUUGAUCUAUAGGCAGCCGGAAACUUGGCUAAUUUAUUAUGACUAUGGAUGAGACUUUUGUGAUGUAAUUGAUGAGACUAUUGAUUUAAAUAUUGUUAUAUGAUU